UCUUUUUAUACAAUUAAAAUUAUCAUUGUGUAUAUGACUGCUUAACUAAAUAUAACUAACUACUGUCUGUAUAUUUUCUGUAUAGUUCAAAGCACUUCUUGGACAGCAUGGGCAACGUACUGAUAAACGGGCACAGAUUGCCUCCUACCUGUUACAACACGGCGCCGAUAAAGGAGCCAAGAACCACAUUGGUUUAACUCCUGUUGAUAUAUGCACCGAAGAGAAGCUGAAGAAGGUGCUGCAAAAUUUCACACAAAUAAGUUCACCACCAAGCAGCUCCACUGUGAAUGCUACAGCUUCAGGUUUUGUUGAGGACGUCUUGUGUUCCAGUUGUUUGAGACAGAGGGCCAAUGUCAUCAUUCUGCCCUGCUCUCACAAAACCUUGUGCAGGGCUUGCUGUCAGAACGUCAGACGAUGCCCUGUGUGUGGAAACGACGCCAACAAAAAAAUUGGAGAAGAUGGCAACUUGAUUGGAAAUUAGUGUAUCAUUCAGUAAAUGGAAGCGGAAGUGCAUGAUACUUUACUCGACGGCUAAUAUGUGCAUUACGUCAUAGACUGCGAUUCAAGAAUUUUACAAUCAAGGAACAUAUUUAUGCUCUUUUUGCGUACAAUAUAUAUAUAUAUAUAUAUAUAUAUAUAUAUAUAUAAAAUAUAAGAUAUUAUAUAAGAAAAUAUUUAUACAAAAUAAUAAGAAGGCGUGAAUCUAUGGUUACUUAGUUUUAAAUAGAGUUCUGCACACAUAUUAUAUUCUCCUUAACUAUUUUAUACCAACACCUUCCAUUAUGUCUGUAAAUGGUUAUAUUAUGUUAUAACGUAGAUAAGCUUAUGAAAACGUGCCUAUUAACCAAACCUCUUUGAUAUGCUUGGUAACAACUCAAGUAACAGUGCUAGUAGUUUGGUGCAGCACUGAGCAAAGGGACUAUCCUGAUUUUGUAUCCUUUUAACAUGUUUUUUUCUGGUGUCACCGGUAACAGUCGAUCAAACUCGAUCUAUUGUUUUCUAUAUUUUCAUUUCGGGCUAAUGUUGCAUUUCAAACCAUUAUUGUAAGUAAACAUUUUUUAAAAUGUAUCUAUGUGUUCAUCUAUAAUGUGUUUGGUGUUUGCUAUGUUUUUUAUUCAAAUAAAACAACGACCAAACUAAUAUCGAAAGAAACUAGGAGUCAGUUACACAUUGCCUAAUUUAAAUUUUUUAUGGAAAGUUGUGACUUUUUUUCCUGUGACGUUUUGUCCUGGGGUUUUUUAAUGAGUUUUUACCUGUCAAAUGAAUCAGUUAAUUUACAAGUUGACUGAAAUAAUUGAUUCUCCAGAAGUCACGUGGCAAGAAAGUGCUGGAGCAAAAUAUUUUCUGAACCGGUAGAACACUAAAAAAAUAUCCUAUUCUUUUAAUCUUUCUUUUUUAACUUGUGGGUUAUAUUACUUUAUAUUAAUGGUUACCUAAAAUUGUAACGAUUGUAGAGAUGCUUUGGAGGGAGGGGUUAUAUAUGUUAAAUAACUUAUUGCUGUGUGUGGAUUUGGCUGCCCAGUCAAGCUUAAGGUUGUGCGCUGUCCGUCUGCAGUCAUUAAUACUAACAAAAGCAAAGAGUCUGCCACAGUACAACCGAUCGCAUUCAACACUUUUGAUGUAUUGUCAAAUGAUCAUAGUUGACAACUCGUACCCUUGAUAACUGUAAACUACAUGUCUUGUUUUAUGUGACACUAAACUAGAGCAGUUCGGUGAUUAAAGGGGCAUGCUUUGGUUUCUUUUAGCAGCUUGGGGAUUAACACACACGUAAUUACGUUUUGUCGUUAAAUAUAAUAAUAUGUUUUAAAUAUUCAUGUAAUAAGUAAAGUUUGUUUUGUUUAACGACACUACUAUAGUACAUUGAUUAAUUAAUUAUGGACUAUUGAAUGUCAAACAUUUGGUAAAUUUGACACAGUCAUCAAAAAUAGUUCAUAUUUGUGAAAAUGUAAUCAUGAUUACUGGGCAGUGUAAUCGCCAUUGUAAUCGAUUAAUAUCAUUUUCCUUGUAAUCGUAAUCGUAAUCGUAAU